AUUUGAUGAUUUGGGCACUGCAUAAGCUUCUUCUUGAACCUCUCCCAUGUCUCAUAGAAGAGCUUCAGUUGGAAGCUGUCUGAAAUUACUUAUCUCAUUUCUUAAUU
rnacentral:snoRNA from 1 species